GAUGAACGCUGGCGGCGUGCCUAAUACAUGCAAGUCGAGCGAACAGACCAGGAGCUUUCUCCUCUGACGUUAUCACCGGACGGGUGAUUAACACGGGUAUAACCUACCUAUAAGACUGGGAUAACUACGGGAAACCGUAUCUAAUACCGAAUGAUAUAUUGAACUUCAUUGGGCAAGAGUUAAAGACGCUUGUUCUUACACUUAUAGAUUAAUCCGGUCCGCAUUAGCUAGUUGGUAAAGUAACGGCUUACCAAGGCAACGAUGCGUAACCGACCUGAGCGGGUGAUCGGCCAGACUGGAAGUGAGACACGGCACAGACUCCUACGGGAGGAAGCGGUAGGGAAUCUUACGCAAUGGGGGAAAGCCUGACGGAGAACAGCCGCGUGAGUGCUGAAGGUGUUCGGAUCGUAAAACUCUGUUAUCAGGGAAGAAGAAAUGUGUAAGUACCUAUGAACGUAUUGACGGUACCUAAUCAGAAAGCCACGGCUAACUACGUG
rnacentral:rRNA from 1 species